UGAAACUUUGGACUUCCUUUAUGAGCCCUGCCAGGCUCCCAGCUCACUGCUUUUCACCAUAUAAGGCAAACCCCUGUGCGGGUCACAGGUGAGCCCGCUGUGACCCAGGCCUUGCUCAGCUCAGCUGCAAAGGCACUUCCAACGGAGCGCAGCGCGUAUGCACAGAUGAUUUUAGCAACGAAGAGGUUUUGACACCUUUUAUGGUUUUAGAGGAAGAAAGACUUGUGUACCACAACGGCAGAAACACGGCUUUGGCUUCAUCGUGGUGAGAAAUGGAUUCCAAGAGCACAGUAUGGAAGGAGGAAGGAGGAGAGAUUGUACGAUGGAGAAACCAGACGGACAUGACCCUGGCCAGGUGACCAAGGUCAGGACCAACUGUGAUAAGUCACCGUGAUGGCAUGUAACCUUGAUAGGACGGAUGACAAGGUGCUUUACAUCUGGGCUCUUCAUUCCUCCAAACCCACAACCCUAGUCUAAUCCAUGAGAAAAACAGCAGACGAAUCCCAACAGAGGGGGAGCUUACAAACACCAGGCCAGCGUGCCUCCAACUGCCCAGGCCAUAAAAAACAAGGAGAGUCUGAGAAACUGUCCCAGCUUGGAGAGCUCAUGUGCAGCCAUGUGUCCCUGAGAAAGAACAUUUCCUGUGAACUUUAGGAAGAGUAAAAACGGGAUCCCUGGGUGGCGCGGCGGUUUGGCGCCUGCCUUUGGCCCAGGGCGCGAUCCUGGAGACCCGGGAUCGAACCCCCACGUCGGGCUCCCGGUGCGUGGAGCCUGCUUCACCC